rnacentral:lncRNA from 1 species
CUCCAAAGCUACAUAGAGAAACUCUGUCUCGAAAAACCGAAAAAAAAAAAGAAAAGAAAAAAGAAAAGAAAAGAAAAAUUAACAUGGUGGCCCAACAUAUAUGUCAAAUACAACCGGAGACAAGACUGCCGAGGCUUUGUGACAGCACUUUUGAAAUCUGCCCUAAAGUAAGGAAACAAUUUUCCCACUAACAGCAACUGACAUCUUACCCUGGGCUGAGCUUGUUCAAAUGCUGCAAUGCAUUUUGCUCAUGAUCACACCAGAGUGAGAAUGGAAGCUGGGGAGGUGGGAUAGAGAGAAAAAAGUAGAUCCGCAUAAAGGUGUGGCUGUAUCAGGAAGAAGAAAAAACAUUUUUGGCAUUCUUUCAGUUAGGAGGGGUGAUGUUUGCUAUCAGUUCUACAAGGCUGUCCGAUGAAGACAAAUGCACUGUCUCAGCUCCCAUCUAUAACCAGGCUCCAGAACUAGUUGAAAGGGUGCAUGGAAAUAAAUGGUGGCCAUUGCACAAAGGUAUGUGGCUUGCAAAGCUGUGAGCCCUGCCCCUUCCUUAAACUCUACUGGAGUUUCCAUGGAGAAGCAGCUGCCAGUUUUACCUGUAU